rnacentral:snRNA from 1 species
AGCUUUGUGCCAUGGCAGUAUCAUCGUCAAUGAGGUUUAUCCAAGGCGCGAUUAAUAGAAUCGAAAACUUUUCCCAAUACCCCACUAGGACGAGGUGAAAUUUAGGCAGCACUGGCAAUUUUUGGCAGUCUCUACGGGGA